rnacentral:rRNA from 1 species
AUUGAACGCUGGCGGCAUGCCUAACACAUGCAAGUCGAACGCGAAAGGUCCUGGGCGUUAGUAGAGUGGCGGACGGGUGGAGUAACGCGUGGGAAGUCUGCCCACGUAGUGGGGGAGUAACGUAGCGAAAGUUACGCUAAUACCGCAUAUUCUGUGAGCAGGAAAGCAGGGGAUCGCAAGACCUUGCGCUGAUUGAGCGGCCGAUAUCAGAUUAGCUAGUUGGUGAGGUAAAGGCUCACCAAGGCGACGAUCUGUAGCGGGUCUGAGAGGAUGAUCCGCCACACUGGAACUGAGACACGGUCCAGACUCCUACGGGAGGCAGCAGUGGGGAAUUUUGGACAAUGGGCGCAAGCCUGAUCCAGCCAUGCCGCGUGAGUGAAGAAGGCCUU